rnacentral:rRNA from 1 species
UACGUAGGGGGCAAGCGUUGUCCGGAAUCAUUGGGCGUAAAGCGCGUGUAGGCGGCUCGGUAAGUCUGCUGUGAAAGUCCAGGGCUCAACCCUGGGAUGCCGGUGGAUACUGUCGAGCUCGAGUCCGGAAGAGGCGAGUGGAAUUCCUGGUGUAGCGGUGAAAUGCGCAGAGAUCAGGAGGAACACCAAUAGCGAAGGCAGCUCGCUGGGACGUUACUGACACUGAGGCGCGAAAGCGUGGGGAGCGAACAGG